CUGCAGCUCUCUCCAGUUGUCGUUUACGCAUCAUCUCCUGGUGAGUUUUGGAAAGAAACCAUGCUUUUGUAAUAUCGUUUGGAAUGAUAAAAUAAACUGCCACACCACAUACAAAUCCUAUUAAUCCUUCAAUUAUGAAAAGCCAUCUCCAACCAGCGAACCCGCCUACCCCGUCCAUAUGCAAAACUGCAUAUGCGAAUAGACCAC